rnacentral:lncRNA from 1 species
GCUGAAGUUUUUUUCCUCUCUCUAAUAUACGUAGCAUUACGCACCUCAUUGCUGUGUGUGUGAGAGAGAGAGAGAAAGAGGGGAAGAGAGAAAAUGGGGAGGAAAGAAGAGAAUGGAGUGGGGAGAAUAGAAGGAGGAGUGGUGGUGGUGGAUCCAAAACCACAAAAUGGAGUGUUUGCAAAGGCCAUAGACUGGUUAGAAUGGGGGAUCAUCAAAUUAAUGAAUGACUCCACCAAGCCAAUUCACUAUCUUCAG